ACGUAGGAGGCUAGCGUUGUCCGGAUUCAUUGGGCGUAAAGGGAGCGCAGGUGGCUGAGUUAGUCCGUGGUGCAAUCUCCAGGCUCAACUUGGAGAGGUCUACGGAUACUGCUCGGCUUGAGGACGGUAGAGGAGCACGGAAUUCCUGGUGUAGUGGUGAAAUGCGUAGAUAUCAGGAGGAACACCCGUGGCGAAAGCGGUGCUCUGGGCCGAUCCUGACACUCAGGCUCGAAAGCGUGGGGAGCAAACCGG
rnacentral:rRNA from 1 species